UUUCAAAUGAUGAAUUCACCAAACUGAAUUUGUGUAAAAUUCUCUAUUCUUGAGAAUUUAACGCAUAAUUUACACAGGAUGUUUCCAGAGGCAUUUGUCUGAUUUAUUA
rfam:Phlebotomus papatasi Contig78233.1, whole genome shotgun sequence.